rnacentral:rRNA from 1 species
ACCAACCGGGAUUGCCCUAGUAACGGCGAGUGAAGCGGCAACAGCUCAAAUUUGAAAUCUGGCCCCCUAGGGGGUCCGAGUUGUAAUUUGCAGAGGGCGCUUUGGCGUCGGCAGCGGUCUAAGUUCCUUGGAACAGGACGUCACAGAGGGUGAGAAUCCCGUACGUGGCCGCCAGCCUUCGCCGUGUAAAGCCCCUUCGACGAGUCGAGUUGUUUGGGAAUGCAGCUCUAAAUGGGAGGUAAAUUUCUUCUAAAGCUAAAUACUGGCCAGAGACCGAUAGCGCACAAGUAGAGUGAUCGAAAGAUGAAAAGCACUUUGGAAAGAGAGUCAAAAAGCACGUGAAAUUGUUGAAAGGGAAGCGCUUGCAGCCAGACUUGCCUGUAGUUGCUCAGCCGGGCUCCGGCCCGGUGCACUCUUCUGCGGGCAGGCCAGCAUCAGUUCGGGCGGCCGGAUAAAGACCUCUGUCACGUACCUCCCUCCGGGGAGGACUUAUAGGGGAGGUGAAAUGCGGCCAGUCCGGACUGAGGUCCGCGCAUCUGCUAGGAUGCUGGCGUAAUGGCUGUAAGCGGCCCGUCUUGAAACACGGACCAAGGAGUCUAACAUCUAUGCGAGUGUUUGGGUGUCAAGCCCGAGCGCGUAAUGAAAGUGAACGGAGGUGGGAACCCCUCGGGGUGCACCAUCGACCGAUCCUGAUGUCUUCGGAUGGAUUUGAGUAAGAGCAUAGCUGUUGGGACCCGAAAGAUGGUGAACUAUGCUUGAAUAGGGUGAAGCCAGAGGAAACUCUGGUGGAGGCUCGCAGCGGUUCUGACGUGCAAAUCGAUCGUCAAAUUUGGGCAUAGGGGCGAAAGACUAAUC